UCUGAUACUUUCAGUUUUGUUUUACCACUCGCUGAACUUGCAGGAAUUUAUUGUUGACGCCAGUCUCAUGCAGAACUUUUACAAUUAGGAGGGAGAGAGGGAGGGACCAACAUCUCUCACCUUGUUACUUUCAUUUUUGAUGUCUCCAUACCUUCAGUGAUUCACGAAGCUUUUACUCUCGGAAGUCUCAUGCAGAACCUUUACCAUGUUUUUGAAUCUUCUGCUGCUGCUGUUUUGCUUUAUCAAUUAUAGUGGAACCACUCCUAUACCUGUGCCAGGAACAAAAGGAGGCAACGCCACCCUGUCAUGUGAAUUUGAGGACCACGAGAUUUCAGAUAUUGUGUUAAGCAGAUUGUCAAAAAAAAUCCUUGUCUGUCAGAAUGAUGAAUGUAAGAGUGAAAAUGGCAGAGUGUUUAAAAAAGGAAAAUGUGACAUCAUGUUAAUGCAUCUGAAAUUCAGUGACGCUGGGAAAUACAUUCUGAGAGUCUAUCACAAUAAUGAUCAAACAGAAGUCCUGGAGUACCAACUUCUUAUUCAGGAUGAGAUUUCUGUGAAAAUAGAUGAGAAGGUAAAGUUGCAUGUUCUGUUGACCAAUGCUGAUAAAGUGGAGCAUCAGACUAUCAACAGGACAGAGUGGACAGAGCUGUGGAAGAGAGGCGUCGAGGUCCAGAAUGAUCGACUGACCGUCAGUGAUGAAACUCUGACCAUUUUACAUUUUACAGUCAAUGACACUGGAAAAUACAGAGUUCUGGACUCUGAAGGAGAAAUCUUGAUCACAGUCACAGUCACAGUCACAGUACAGGAUCAAAGGGAAAACUGGACACAGAUGAAGACAAAACUAAUGAGUCUUGGAUUAUUGUGUUCUUUGUGAUUGGAGCUCUGCUGGUUCUGCUGGUUCUGAUUAUAUCUGCUGUCAUCUACCAACGUCGGCGCAUGAACCCAGAACGUCAGCACAGGAACACAGAACAUGAGCCUGUCCCAAUGCAAGACAUACAGUAGUCCAGAACAUCUAGAGACACUGGAAACUUGUAAUCUUAUAUUUAUAUCAUAUUAUAAGGUUGAGCAAGAGUGCUGUUCUUCCUGAACCUCAGAACAAUUACAAAUUUGUUUUUAUUUUUAUAACAGUUCAAUAAACAACUCAAUAUAAAGAGAGCUCAAUUUUCAACACAGUAUUAUAUUUUAAAUUUAUAUUUGAUCAUAGUAUUAUAUAACACUGAAUAUAUUUAUUAAAUUAAUUUGACAUAAAAGAAGAUGCAUUUAUCUAUAUGUAAGAAAAAUGACAAUAAAGGUAAAAUUGUCACUGGAGAUCAAUUUAUGGGAGAAAAUAUCACCUUUAAUGCAGAUUAUGAAAAGUUUUGUGAGUUAGACAGUCCUAAACCAGCCAAGAUAUUCCAGCACAAAAACACAAUUAUUGUUAUCAAAAUCCCAGAAAAUUUCAAGAUAUCAUAUAAUAUAUAUAUAUAUAUAUAUAUAUAUAUAUAUAUAUAUAUAUAUGAUAUACAGGAAGAGAUGCAGUGGUUCUGCUGUGAUUUAUUUGGAACUAUUUUAGUUUGUGAAAUAAAGCAAAAACAGAGGUGCUUAUUGAACUGAACUGUUAAAUAAAAUCAAUAUCACAUUUGAAAUCAUGCAGAUAUUCAGGAAGAAAAUCACUCUUGCUCAACUAUAUUAUAUUAUAUAAAUAUAAGACAAAAAUUUAUACUCAUUUCAGCCUUAUAUCUUGGGUUUCAGGUUCAUUUUAACUUUAUUAUAGUCUGCAUCACAGUGAAAGAGUGCACUAUCAAGGCCAGUUUUUGCAAAGUGAGUGACUCAAUAAUGACAAAUUUACACUGUUAUGAUUAUGAUAACAACAACAACAACAACAACAAUAACAACAAUUAUAUUAUUAUUGCUGGCAUGGACUCAAAUGUGUUUCUUGCCAAGUUGUUUCUCCCAUUUUAAACAUCUUUAGAGAGAUUUUUUUCCUUGCCAUUGUUGCCUUUAACUGACCUCUUGCUCUUCUCUUUGUGAAGCUGCAUUAUGUAUUGAGAAAAACUAUGAACUUGGUCUUUUUUACUUGUUUUGUAAUCCACUUUUGAUGCAGUAAUAUUUUGCUUAUUUUUAAUUAUGUAUUUUGGUAAUAUUGAAAAAUUGUUACUGUAUUGUUUCAAUAUAGGUGUAAAUAAUGAUACUCAGGAAAAAUAAUAAACUUAAUCCUCUCUGUGACUAAAAUGAUCAGGAAUCUACAUAAAUGUUAGCUGCCAAAAACAUCAGAUCUGUAUGUGGUGCUCAAAGGCCAGAAGAAGAACAAUGUUUGAUGACCUUUACACUCAUAUUGUAUAAACCAAAUGGAUUAAUUUUGGGCUUUUUCUGUUGUCUUCAUUACCUCUGUAAGACUUGAUUUUCCUGCUAAGACAAAAACUGAGAUCAAGCACCCUGCAAUAAAGCAAUAAAGCUUAUCUGGAGAGAAGAUCUCAAAGAAAUAGCAUAGGACAACGCCUUGCCCUCACACAUCUACAGGAGGCAAUAGCCCUCCCCCCAAAACACACACACCCUCCUUCCUUUCCCCCUUACUCAAGUCACUGAAAGUUAAGUAUAAUGUAUCUGGUGUAUCUAUUGUUUAUUCCUUUCAUGUUUGGUGUCAUUUUAAAUGUCUUAGUGCGAUUGGUAAAAUGGUCUCAAUUUCACAGCAGUCACUGGUAUUAUGAAGAAGACUGAAAACUAAGGAGAAUUCUGUCCUCCUUUUGGGUGGUGUCACUUGUGAAAACCCACUCCUCUCCCCCCAAAACAGGUGUUGGUGUAAUAAAAAUUUACAAUCCUUUUGUUCUGGUCUUGGUAUAUAAGGUAAAGUGCAAAGCAGUCAGGGGGGAUUUUCUGUAGCCAGAAGCCCCCACACAGUGGUGGACAAGUGUCUUCAAACACUAAUCCACCACUGUGUGCAUGUGCAUUUCAGUUGAUGUUAUGCAUUUAUUAUUUCUGAAUUGGCUUCUAAUUGUCCAACUAUGUAAUUGGCAUGAUACAUUUUUACUUGACAAAUAAAAUGUUAUAUUUGGUUUA